rnacentral:lncRNA from 1 species
CUGAUAUUGCCAUAUGUAUUCAACUUUUUACCAGGAGUCCAAGCUAAAAACUGUGGUCCUGACAUGCCAGGCAGAAAAUCUCCAGUUCCCUGCAUCUCUAAAGAACAUCAAAAUGAUCAGCUUUAUGGACAGGGUCUCUCUCAGGUCGCAGCAAGCAGAAGUCUAAUAUCUACACUUGAUAUUGCCACACUAGGCUACUUGGUAUAGACUGGUUUUAAAGAUUUACCAUUUAAC